rnacentral:rRNA from 1 species
AGUGAACGCUGGCGGUAGGCCUAACACAUGCAAGUCGAACGGCAGCACAGUAAGAGCUUGCUCUUACGGGUGGCGAGUGGAGGACGGGUGAGGAAUACAUCGGAAGCUACUUUUUCGUGGGGGAUAACGUAGGGAAACUUACGCUAAUACCGCAUACGACCUACGGGUGAAAGCAGGGGAUCUUCUGACCUUGCGCGAUUGAAUGAGCCGAUGUCGGAUUAGCUAGUUGGCGGGGUAAAGGCCCACCAAGGCGACGAUCCGUAGCUGGUCUGAGAGGAUGAUCAGCCACACUGGAACUGAGACACGGUCCAGACUCCUACGGGAGGCAGCAGUGGGGAAUAUUGGACAAUGGGCGCAAGCCUGAUCCAGCAAUACCGCGUGGGUGAAGAAGGCCUUCGGGUUGUAAAGCCCUUUUGUUGGGAAAGAAAAGCAGCAGGUUAAUACCCCGCUGUUCUGACGGUACCCAAAGAAUAAGCACCGGCUAACUUCGUG